rnacentral:rRNA from 1 species
UUGACGGGGAGCACCACAACGGGUGGAGCUUGCGGUUUAAUUUGGAUUCAACGCCGGAAAUCUUACCGGGACCGACAGCAAUAUGAAGGCCAGGCUGAAGACUUUGCCGGAUUAGCUGAGAGGUGGUGCAUGGCCGUCGUCAGUUCGUACUGUGAAGCAUCCUGUUAAGUCAGGCAACGAGCGAGACCCACGCCCACAGUUGCCAGCGUACUCUCUGGAGUGACGGGUACACUGUGGGGACCGCCGCUGCUAAAGCGGAGGAAGGAAUGGGCAACGGUAGGUCAGUAUGCCCCGAAUAUCCCGGGCUACACGCGAGCUACAAUGGUUGGUACAAUGGGUAUCUACCCCGAAAGGGGACGGGAAUCUCCUAAAACCAAUCUUAGUUCGGAUUGAGGGCUGCAACUCGCCCUCAUGAAGCUGGAAUCCGUAGUAAUCGCGUUUCAACAGAACGCGGUGAAUACGUCCCUGCUCCUU